rnacentral:misc_RNA from 1 species
UACGGAGGGUGCAAGCGUUAUCCGGAAUCACUGGGUUUAAAGGGUGCGUAGGCGGAAUAUUAAGUCAGUGGUGAAAGCCUGUCGCUUAACGAUAGAACUGCCAUUGAUACUGAUAUUCUUGAAUUGGGUUGAGGUUAGCGGAAUGUGACAUGUAGCGGUGAAAUGCAUAGAUAUGUCAUGGAACACCAAUUGCGAAGGCAGCUAACUGGGCCUUGAUUGACGCUGAGGCACGAAAGCGUGGGUAGCGAACAGG